rnacentral:lncRNA from 10 species
CUUCGAACUCCUGACCUCAGAUGAUCCACCUGCCUCGGCCUCCAAAAAUGCUGGGAUUACAGGCGUGAGCCACCUCGCCCAGCCUCUUUUUACUUUAUUAUUGGAUUUUAAAGCUGUUGUCUUAUAGUAACUUAAGAUAUGGAACUGUAACCAUAACAGGUCCAUUGCCCAUUGUGCAUGACAAGUCAGUAUGUAAGACCCUGGGCUGCAGCAAAGAAAGAUGUUUAAUUGCAGGGCCACCGAAUGAGGAGACUGGAGGAAACUUCAAAUCUCUCCCCGAGGGUUUAGGAAGUGGGCCAAGGUGCAGCCUGUUUAGUGCCUAGUUAUAACUAUAUUUCUGUCCAGGACCCAGCAUGCAAUUCUUGUAAGUCCCGUGAGGGCAGUCUCAGAACUUGUCCUACUAGCGUUUACCUUUAUUUAGCAGAUAAAGAUAACAUGUUACCGAUAUUUCACCAUGUAAAGGCCAAGGGAAACCAGGAGGUAGGUGUAAAACACAAGAAAAAAAAGGAAAAUACAAGGAAAAAAGGAAACUCAACAUAUUUUAGAAUACUUCACUGAAGAUUCCAGACAAGGGAAGUCCUGG